UUCCUGGUGGUCCAGUUGUUAGGACUCUGCACUUCCACUGCAGGCGGCGCAGAUUCGAUCCCUGGUCAGGGAA
rnacentral:tRNA from 1 species